UACGUAGGGUGCGAGCGUUAAUCGGAAUUACUGGGCGUAAAGCGCACGUAGGCGGAUUUGUUAGUCAGGGGUGAAAUCCCGGGGCUCAACCUCGGAACUGCAUUCGAUACUGCUUUGCUUGAGUACUGGAGAGGAGAUUGGAAUUUACGGUGUAGCAGUGAAAUGCGUAGAUAUCGUAAGGAAGACCAGUGGCGAAGGCGGAUCUCUGGACAGUUACUGACACUGAGCACGAAGGCCAGGGGAGCAAACGGG
rnacentral:rRNA from 1 species